rnacentral:lncRNA from 1 species
GUGAUUUUGAGGAAAGUGCUGAUUUUUAUUGAGCAUGAUUUAACUCAAGCUGCAUCCUUUUUUUUUUUUCUUUUUAAGGAUAAUCACUUCAAAAUGAUUAAUGAUGCCUAAAGCCACCGGUCUUACUUCCUGUGGCGAAAUGCGGAACUUUUGUGCAAGUCUGGGUUUGUAGGAGGGUGUGCUCCAAGCCUCCGGGAGAGAGAGAGGUUCCCAUCCCGUGCGGACAGUUGGGUCAUUGUUUGGGAAGGGGCUGCGGAUUGGGACCACGUCCCCUGCAGGGAGAGAAGCAUUGCUCCAGUUACGAAAAGGAAGUGAAAUCGGUUACCUCGAAAGGUGCCAGAACAAUUUUGCUGCCGGGAUAGCGGCAAAGAAGCUCCAGUAUGCUUUCUCCAGUGUUUCCCCCAUGUGCGCACCAACCACCCAAGUGGCCCGCCUGAGACUUCUUUCUCCCUCCAGCCUGGCUGUCUUUCCUCCUGCUGAGCUGCUGUUUGAGAGUCACCCCAUAUAUGUUCAUGGUCAAGACAACUGCUGUCUUUUUCAAAGAAGAACUUAGGGAUUUAAAAAUUCAUACAAUUAAAGAGUACUACAGAAAAAAUAUGAAGAUGUUCUGGUCUUAACUUUUGUCACUCUCCUGACCACCAGAGUUGAGUUAGCUCAUGGCGAAGUGGGGGAUACCCACUUCC